UUCGCGGCCUAUCAGCUUGUUGGUGAGGUAACGGCUCACCAAGGCAAUGACGGGUAGCUGGUCUGAGAGGACGAUCAGCCACACUGGAACUGAGAUACGGUCCAGACUCCUACGGGAGGCAGCAGGAGGGAAUCUUGCGCAAUGGGCGAAAGCCUGACGCAGCGACGCCGCGUGGGGGAUGAAUGCCUUAGGGUUGUAAACCCCUUUCACGAGGGAAGAAACUGACGGUACCUCGAGAAGAAGCCCCGGCCAACUACGUGCCAGCAGCCGCGGUAAUGCGUAGGGGGCGAGCGUUGUCCGGAUUUAUUGGGCGUAAAGGGCUCGUAGGCGGCUUGGCAAGUCGGCCGUGAGAACCCAGGGCUCAACUCUGGGACGCCGGUCGAUACUGCCAUGGCUAGGGUCCGGUAGAGGGGAAUGGAAUUCCCGGUGUAGCGGUGAAAUGCGCAGAUAUCGGGAGGAACACCAGUAGCGAAGGCGGUUCCCUGGGCCGGCACCGACGCUGAGGAGCGAAAGCGUGGGGAGCAAACAGGAUUAGAUACCCUGGUAGUCCACGCCGUAAACGAUGGGCACUAAGUGUCGGCAGGUUACUGCCGGUGCCGCAGUUAACGCAGUAAGUGCCCCGCCUGGGGAGUACG
rnacentral:rRNA from 1 species